AGCAGCCGCGGUAAUUCCAGCUCCAAUAGCGUAUAUUAAAGUUGCUGCAGUUAAAAAGCUCGUAGUUGAAUUUCGGGAUCAAUAUAUUGGUCGUGCCUUGGUACGUACUAGUUUAUUGGUUUCUCCCUUCUGACGAACCAUGAUGUCAUUAAUUUGGUGUCAUGGGGAAUCAGGACUGUUACUUUGAAAAAAUUGAGUGUUUAAAGCAGGCUCACGCUUGAAUACAUUAGCAUGGAAUAAUGAAAUAGGACGUUUGAUUCUAUUUUGUUGGUUUCUAGGAUUGACGUAAUGAUUAAUAGGGAUAGUUGGGGGCAUUAGUAUUCAAUUGUCAGAGGUGAAAUUCUUGGAUUUAUUGAAGACUGACUACUGCGAAAGCAUUUGCCAAGGAUGUUUUCAUUAAUCAAGAUGAAAGUUAGGGAUCGAAGACGAUCAGAUACCGUGUAGUCUUAACCAUAAACUAUGCCGACUAGGGAUCGGAUGAUGUUAAUUUUAUGUACUC
rnacentral:rRNA from 1 species